CCUACGGGCGGCAGCAGUGGGGAAUAUUGCACAAUGGGGGAAACCCUGAUGCAGCAACGCCGCGUGAAGGAAGACGGUUCUCGGAUUGUAAACUUCUGUUCUUAGUGAAGAAUAAUGACGGUAGCUACGGAGCAAGCCACGGCUAACUACGUGCCAGCAGCCGCGGUAAUACGUAGGUGGCAAGCGUUGUCCGGAAUUACUGGGUGUAAAGGGAGCGCAGGCGGGAAGUCUAGUCAGCUGUGAAAACUACGGGGUUAACUUGUAGACUGCAGUUGAAACUGGUUUUCUUGAGUGAAGUAGAGGUUGGCGGAAUGCCGGGUGUAGCGGUGAAAUGCGUAGAUAUUCGGCAGAACACCGGUGGCGAAGGCGGCCAACUGGGCUUUAACUGACGCUGAGGCUCGAAAGUGUGGGGAGCAAACAGGAUUAGAUACCCGAGUAGUC
rnacentral:rRNA from 1 species